UUGAAAUUGAAUGCGUGCGCACAUCCUCUUAUUUCCGGCAUAAUAACACGAGGUUCACAUCAUCUCGUACGACUCGAGCUUCGUCUUGUUUUUAUAUGAUUUUGGAAAAUUUUAUCACACUGUAAUCUAAAUUACUGAGAUGAGCUUCAAUUCAUCAGGUUUAUCGCCCCCAGGUGGAGCAGGGGGCCAAAAUGCUGUGGACCCAGAAAUGCAAGCAUUUAUAGAGGCGGAGGCUGGCAAAGCAAAGAUACAACAGCAAAUCCAUAAACUGAAUAAUUUGUGUUGGGACACUUGUGUGGAUAAACCUCGGGACAAGUUGGACAGUCGUACUGAGUCAUGUAUGUGUAACUGUGUAGAACGUUAUGUGGAUGUAGCCAAAGUCAUUGAACAAAGGUUUCAGCAGCGAGUCCAAAAAGCAGCCAGUGGUUUUUGAUUUUCAGAAUAUAUUUUAUUUUGUCAGCUUGUUGUCUAUCCGAGAGACGAAGGGUUCUUUAAUUAUGGAAGUCAUCAAUGAGAACCCAAAACAAGAUUCACUACAUACUUAUAUAUGUUUACUGUGUUAAAUUAUGAGUUGUUUGAUGUAACAUAACUUCGAUAAAAAAAAUCAUGUUUCAAGUUAUG